AUUGUGGAGAUCUCAGCACACUCUUCAGGGGGAUACACCUUGGCUUUUACCUUCUAAUGUAGAACUAGUAUAAAGUGAUGCAAAUAAAUGAGAUUAUGCUGUGUCUUUUUAAGAAGCUUAUGGCUUUCACGAAUUCUUGCGAGUUUUUUACACUAUGAAAGCUGAAUUCCUUUAUACAAUUGUCAGGUCAGGUCAAUUUAAAAAUUUCCUUGCAAUAAGUCUGACUACUAAUUUACUUACAGUUUACAUUGCUCUGUGAAAGCCUACAGACAUAAUGGCCUGGCUGGAAACAACAAAAAAUAUAUAAAUGAAUAUACAUGUAUAUAUUUGUCAUUAGGAACUAGUUACAUCCAAGUGCCACUGUAACCUGUCUGUAAUUAUUAAAAUAUCUUCUAGGACCUCAUCUGUCCUUAGGAUAGAAGAUUUCCUGCCUUUCUACUUUUUAUUUAAGGGGAUUCCUGUUUCAUGGCUCCAAGAGGUAAAUGUUGAUCACACAGGACCAAAAUAAGACUGCCAUUAGAAGAAAACGGCCAAGCUGGCACACGCAGAGAUCAACAACCACUGCCAUUCCCACCGACGUCAAAUCCACCGGUAAAACCUCUGAUGUGCAACGCCAGUGCAGAACCUGCAACAGCACCACACACAGUACAAGGCUACCAUGGCUUUCCAGUCAGUGGCAGCUCUGGCCAUCCUCAUGCAGGACACAACGGCCCUGUAAAUGAGGAAGCCAUUUCCCUGCCCUCCAGCGCCAAGUCCAGCCCACAGACACCACGGGAGGGACUGGGGAAGGAGGAGGAUGAGCACGGCCAUCUUCUCCGCUCCUCCUCGACAGCCUCCUGUGAGAUAACCCAGUGUGUCUCGCCAGAGAAGCAUCACGGCAGUGGUGAGUCAAAGGCACUGGUCCUGGAAAGGAUACACCUCCAAAAUCAACAUCCAGUGCUUCCCAGCUGACAGGGCAGGGCUGUGCUGGGGAAGGAGGACAGGCUCCGCCGAAAGGACCAGCUGCUACAGGGACACACUACGGCUGUGAAUCUUUCAUUAAACUUUGCAAGACA